ACGUAAAGCUCAGGGGUUCCGUUGCUGCAGUACCCUCGGCGCCCCGGGAAUUGGCGCCCUGCCGGUGCUGUUGCCGCCCUCCCCGUGCUGUUGCCGCCCUCCCCGGGUGGCUUGGAAUUGGUUCCCGCGGAGGUGCCCUCAGCCCCUCCGGAUCCUGCUGUAAGGCUGCAAACCUCGCUCCGUUGUGCUUGCCGCUGUCGCUGCUCACUUUUCAGAAGUCCUGUGUCAGGAAAUUGUGAUACCAGUGUGUUAAAAGCAUACACCUCCCCCAAAAAUACUGCGUGGAAGCAAAAGCCCAGCGACUGAUUUUUUCAUGUUUUUUUCCGUCAUUGUGCCCAUUUUACCUCUGCACUCUUUCCCUUGAGCUACAAGAAUUAUUACCUAUACCGAAGUGUAAGGUUUUUUUAAUCGUCCGUGUAAGUUCAGAUGAUUGUGAGUCAUUUCAGAAGGUGGGGCUCAAACUGAGGGAAGAAGAAUUAACCUCAAGCCAAUGCCACUCUGUAAUAAAUGCUGGUUGCUUCCGAGGCAAGCUCUUCAUUUUUUCCUAUUCUGUUGCAGUGGACAGUUAAACCUUGUGACAAAGUAGGAGGAGGAGCAGGAUGGACGUGCUGCGGCCCCCCUUGAUAAGGAUCGGGGGGCGAGUGUACCGGAAAAAUCUCAUCCAAGAGCAAGCCUUCCCACACGAGGAGGAGGAGGACUUCUGUACAGGCCCCGGUGACUGCGCGGACGAGCCCUGCGAUGCCUUUGUGGUGGAGGAGACUGAGCGAGGCUUCCAGUGCCGGGUGGAGGCUCCCAGCCCCUUCUACAAGUACAUCAUUGGGAAGAAAGGGGAAACCAAGAAGAGGCUAGAAACAGAGACUCGAACCUCCAUCAGCAUUCCCAAGCCUGGAGUGGAAGGAGAAAUUGUGAUCACGGGGCAGCAGCGGAGCGGCGUCAUCUCUGCCCGGACGCGGAUCGAUGUGCUCCUGGACAGCUUCCGCAAGAAGCAGCCCUUCACACACUUCCUGUCCUUUGCUCUCAACCAGCCUGCCAUCCAGGAAAAGUUCCUGCAGUUCAAGGAGGAGGUGCUGGAGAAAUGCUCAAAGGAUCACGGGGUGAGCAGCAGCCUGUUCCAGAACCCUGCAAAGCUUCACCUGACUCUUGGGACACUGGUGCUCCUGAACGAACAAGAGAUCCAGAAAGCGUGUGACCUCCUGCAGCGAUGCAAAGAGGACUUUGUGGACCAAAUUACUGGAGGCCAGCCCCUGACUGUGGAGGUGGCAGGAGUGGAGUACAUGAACGAUGACCCUGCCAUGACAGACGUCCUUUACGCCAAAGUCCACAUGAAGGAUGGCUCAGACAGAUUGCAGAUGGUCGCUGAUCAGCUGGUGGAGCGGUUUGUGGCCUCUGGCCUGAUGCUUAAAGAAUGGGAUAGGGUGAAGCUGCAUGCCACAGUCAUGAACACUCUCUUCAGGAAAGAUCCAACUGAAGAACGAAACAACACAAUGACUGGUAAAUCAUCUUUCAAGGAGAGGGAGUCAUUUAAUGGCCAAAAUAUCCUCAAGGUCAGUAUGAAACAAUUAGGGAAAUGGAGCCAGCUAUGGAUAUUGUAUAGCCUAAAGAGGUCAAAACACCUCUUCAAGACUGCUUUUGUCUCAGGCUUAUGGGAUCUCCUGAGGGCUGGGGAGGGUGGGGAGGGGAAUCUGUUUAGAAAAUAAACAGUCCAGAUCACUCAUAAUUGGGAGCAUUACAGUGUUUAACAGGAGCAUUCCUAAAGCUGCUGAGGCUCAGAGCAGGAAUAUGAAGCACGAAUGCUAAGUGGGUGUUCGUGUUGUCGUUUACUUCACUCCUGUUUUACCCUGGAGACUCAGGCUCGAGUUGAUUCUCAGCCCACCAGAAAGAAGCACUUCGUUGCUCUUGUUCUACUCAUAUAUAUUUAUGAAACUAAGCCCCACUCUGAUUUCAUUUACUGUUUUCUUACUGUUUUCUUACUGUUUUUAAUCUCUGCUAUUGAUUUGCUCCAGAAAAAUAGCGGGUAGUGGUAGGGAGUCCCACCAGGAUCUGAGGGCUUUGGCAGUGAUCAGAGGGUAGAAAACACGAUCCCCCAGACUCUGGAGGUUGGGUAAGGCUCAAAGGGGAAGCAUGCUGCAGACUCCCAGGCUUUGCCAACCAGGUUUGGGACUGCAGACAGCCUCUGCUGUUCAUCCAGAUGGCUGUGGCAGACUGGUGCCGUGGUGCUUGACCCCUGCAAGUGUCCAGAGAGAAAAGAGAUGCACAGAGGAGCAGAAAUGGAAAACAGCACUGGCUUGUAAGCAAAUCUGCAAUCCUCAUUGUGUUGAGAGGAUUUGUUGCAGGCUGCUCUGAUAAGAGGGAGUGAGGACAAUGCAUGGAUACAUUUGGGAACCGUAAGAAGAUAUUCUGGCAACAAAGAGACAUGAGAGAGGAUACAGGCUGAGUGGGAGCUGGACAACCCAGAAGGACUUUAGAGCCCUCCCAGAGGAGGGGAAGAGUGUGCUUUGUUUGUAUUUACAGUUUUAAUAAUGUAUCAGGCACUGGAUGCAGGGGGAUGUGAAGGCAGGGAGUGGAACUGAUUGAUCUCUGUGCAGAGGACAAACAAAGGGACAAAAUUAGGUUAAGCUCUCAUUGUCCUCAAACGGUCUGUGCAAGCAUGGUGUCAUGACUCAGCGUCACCACGUGUUGAGUGUGCAGUGUGAGACUGCAGUAUUGCAAGCUGGAGCAGGGAAGCUACAGCCCUGGUCCCUUUAUUGAUGUGAUCUGCAGUUUUGGAUAGCUCCAAGUGUUGGGAGAGCCAGCUCUGGAAGGGGGGAGGAGGUGUGUGUCAGGAGCCCCGAGUGCCUGCAGGACAGUGCUUUCUCUUGCUUGUGUUAAACUUGUCCUCAGGCUUUAAAGACACAUAAAAUCAAACUCUGGGUCUUCCUCCGUGCUCUCAUCCCAAGCCGUUUGUGACUGAGAAGGUAUUAACGGUGCUCCCUCUGCUGGUCACACCAUUUGUGGGGGCUGAGGACCUGGGGAAGGGUCUUGCCCUGCUUGGAAGUGCAACUGCUCUCCUUCCGAGGCUCCUUCUUACUCUCGAUGCUCUCAGAGAUAUGAGCCCGAUGCAUUUUUAAAGCUCCUAAUUGAUUUUGUACUGACGUAGAGCCAGAAGAGCUGCUGGCUGUUUGGACUGCUGGUAAUUACUUCAAAGCAUGUCUUGCCACAAGAAAUGUCAUCCUCCUCUCCCACCUCCACUACAUUUCCUAACCUGCCCGCUUCGUAUUUCCCUUUGGUCUCCCACGUGCCUGCAGCAGAACGCCCGUUGGCAUUAAUUAAUUACAUGAGUCAUAAAUAGCUCCAGGCUUCUUACCGGAGGAGCCCAGCCUCAGUGAGCCACUGAUGCAUUCCAGCAUGACCUUGCAGGGACGUGCCAGUUCCCUCCCAGCCUGCUUUUAUAUCCAUUAUUUAUCUUGUGCCGGGGAGGCUGCCCUCUCGCAGAGUGGCUUCGUUAACUUUUGCACCAGCAUCUAAACGCUGUUAAUGAAUAUGGCUGCAGUUAGGCAGGCUGGUGGGAGGGAGAGCCAUGUGCCCUGCAUGUGAUUCCAGGCGGUGGGACUGCGCUGAGUGGCUGUGUUCCCACUUGGAACGCUAACAAAGCAUGGCUGCUGGUAGGAGGGUAAGUGGGAAAACUCAGGUUUCAUCGCUCUCAUUCCCAUUGUGCAGGGACAGAGGCUCAGGGCAGGACUGGAACUGUCGGAGCAGGGAGCACGAUGGAAGUGCUGUGGCUGUGCUACUCCAGGCUGAGGCUCCCCGUGGUCAGAGCUGAGGGGUUUGUGUGUGUGUGUGUGUCUGUGUGUGUGUCUGUGUGUGUGUCUGUGUGUGUGUGUGUGUGUGCAGAUGCGCUGGCAGCACAUGUUUGCUGAUAACAUGCCUGCGCUACACCAGGCUCCAGCUGGUAUUUUGCUUUCAGCUGAACUAAUCGGAAUUUUAUUUAAUAAUCCUUUGUUCUACCCGUUCCACAGAGUUUAAACAUACACUCCUAUUUGUGCUAAUAAAUGGUUGUGCAGGCCGGUACCUUCCCACACUGCUCAGAAAAUAGAUCCUGUAGGAUGACUUGCGUUUGGGAGUUUAAAUUACUUCUGUCUUGAAGAAUAUCCCUAAAAAAGGCUUCCUGGCAUAGGUGCAGCUGAGAGCCCAAGGGGCUGUGUGACCCAAUAGAUUUAUGUCCAACAAAGCUUUGACUUUGCACUUCUCUAAUCUAGUCCCAAAAAGCUGGGGAUGCUUCAUGGACCGCUUCAUACGGAGAGAUACAGAUUCCUUCUAGGCAAAACCGUGCUCUAGUCAGGAGAAAUCUCUCAGAGAACAGAGGGAGGAGGCAGCAAUUCCUGGCUGGAAGGCCCUGGGCCUGGAGGAGAGGCCGGGUUGGCAGCUCCCUGCCGUGUUCCUCGCUGUGUCCUGGCGGUGGCCGCGUGCCCUGCGCCGCAGCUGGCACAGCGCUGGCACAGAGGCAGCCAGGACAGCUGCCGGCAUCUCCGGAGACGAGGCUGCGCUGCCUCCGGGCUUUUAUUUAUUUUUGUUUAGUGAGGGGAAAAAAAAACCCCAAACCAAACAAAAAACCAACUAAAGCUGCAGGGAAUAAAUAAAAAGGAAAAGAAAUGCAAAAGGCCCAACUGGCCAAAAAUUUCUGUUGCACGUUUAAGGGAAAGGAAGAAAACCACCUGGGCUCUCACUGGGUCAAAAUGGAAUGGAUUUUGGCUUGUGUUGAGGUCUGAGAUGUAAAUGAAUGGCCUUUGCCACGUUCAGACAAGAAGGAAACAAAUUUUGAGUGCAGAAAAAGCUGAAGCCUGGCGCUUAGCACAGAUCCGUGCAUUAACAGCUUACAAGAUUAAAUAUUGCGGGAACAGCUACAGAGGUACAGAAGCAGAAAGCUGCACAUCUUAUGUCUUACAGCAUUAGGGGAGACUUUAAGCUGGGAUGGAAGACUGGGAACGGGAUCAGCCAAGGUGGUGACACAUGCUGCUGUGCCCUGGUCCAGCAGUGGGGCUGCAGGAGUGCCCAGGGAGGGCUUCUAGGUCACAUAAGGCAUCAUUUGAUGAGGCUCCUUCUCUUUCGAGGCCUGCAUGAGUGUAUUGAGUUAUGGCACUGAAACUGCUUUCACUGGGAGCAGGGGGAAAGUGCAUUUACUGGCCAGUGGUGUUCCCUGUCACUGUGCCUGUCCUGCUGGGUAGGAGCAGUGCAGAGGCUGUGCCACGCAGCAGUUCAGCUCAAAACAUCUGAUGCAAUGCAGAGGUGCAGUGGAAAAGAAAAACCUUGGCCUGAAUAAACCCCUGACCCCUCAAAAUACCCCAAGCCCACCAAGCUCCAAACAAAUGAACACCUGCCCCUGUGCAGGGCCAGCUCCACUUGCAGAUGGAGGAGUGUGUCUCGUGUUCUGCAGCCAUUGGAACCCAGGCCUUCUGUGUAAUUUUUGUUUGUGGGUUUAAGGAGGCUGAGUCUUUUCCUGAUGUAUUUCUAAGCUGAGGUGAAAUCAAAGAGCUAAAGAAUGAGCUGGCGUUAGGUGAGGAUCAAGACUUCCUGGUGUUCAGAAAGGGUAAGAACACCUUGUUAUCCUCAGCGAGGUGGUAAAGAUGUAGAUCCAAAGCAGGACUGACAGCUGGAACAAAUACCUAACAGGAGGUGGCUGCUUGGGAAGUUUAGAGUUAAAAAUACCAAACAAAAAAAUCCACUGGGGCGAGGAGAGACUGAGUAAGAGAUCGUGGUGCAACAUCAGUAUCUCAGAAACAAGCCAGUGCUUUCCUCACCUCGUUUUUACAGAAGAAUCAAAAGCAGAAAUGAAAGGCUGUGAUGCCACUUUGCAGAGGGGAGAAUUCCUGCCAUUACCAAGAGGCAUCGAGGACAUAAAUCCUUUGGCAUGUUUGGAUUUAUAGAAUUACUGUGCUUUUGCUGAGCCUCGCGUCCCACUCCAAUCAAAUGACACGGCUCUGCGGGCGAUUGCGUCUCUCCUCCCCUGCCUCCCUCCUGGCUGCUCCUGAUCCACGUCUCCUCGUGUUCCCUGCAGCCUUUUCAGGGCAAAGUGGGCCCUUGGCAGCCGUAGGAAAGGAUGGGAAGGGGAAUCUGCCAAUCUUCAGUUGCUUCUGAAGGGCAAGAACCUCCAGCUCUUCGAGAACUUCCACUUCGGGGAGGUGCAGCUGGACUCGGUGCGUCUCUCCCAGAGGUUCUCCUCGGAUGCCUCUGGCUACUACGCAACAUCUGGGCAGCUGUGCUUCUCUUGAGGCAGCCCUGUGUGCGUGAUCCCUCAGUGAAAGGUUUUAUAGGACGUGAAUCUUCAGUGGGAACCUGGGAGCUCCAAGCUGGGAUGCCUCGUGACUCCUCCAAAGCAUGGGAACCAUGGCAUUUCCCUGCUGCUUUUCCCACUGCCCUCUCCUUGGGGGUUGCCAGGGUCCUUCCUCCUCCCUUCCCCAAAAUGUCACAAAGUUGCCUCUUUGGUAUCUGUGGAUUGCUGGCUUUCCAAGAAAACAACUAGAACUGGGGCUUUUGGGGCAUCACUGAUGUUUAAAUGUGGCUUUUUUUUUUUUUUUCAUAA